UACGUAGGGUGCAAGCGUUGUCCGGAUUUAUUGGGCGUAAAGAGCUCGUAGGCGGCUUGGCAAGUCGGGUGUGAAAACUUCAGGCUCAACCUGGAGAUGCCACUCGAUACUGCUAUGGCUUGAGUCUGGUAGGGGAGCACGGAAUUCCUGGUGUAGCGGUGAAAUGCGCAGAUAUCAGGAGGAACACCGGUGGCGAAGGCGGUGCUCUGGGCCAGUACUGACGCUGAGGAGCGAAAGCGUGGGGAGCAAACAGG
rnacentral:rRNA from 1 species